CCAUUUCUAGAACACACUGGAUUAGGUUAAAAAGCGGUUGAAAAACCGCCGCGUCCUUCGGAUGCCGUGUUGGGGGGGUCCUGAGUGACAAGCCCCCACUUAUCCGGGGCGAUCACCGCCUGGGAGGCGCAGCAGGGCAAGCCCUGGGCAGCGGCUCUUCCAGAGCUUUCUGCGGGCCCUGCGUCACCCUCCGGAGUGAGCCGCCGCCGCGGGGGGGCCGCAGGUCAUCAAACAUUUGUUGUGCAUCUAUGCCCUAGGGCGUGCGAGGUACUCUGGACAGAGAUGACAGUCCUUUCUGGAGGAACUCAGAGUCUGGUAGAGAAGAUGGAUCACACAUAUACCUGUCUGCACCGCCGCCAUCCCAGCCACCAUCAUGUCAUAUCUGGAUGGCCAGAUGUCUCUCCACAAGCCAUGACUUGUGACUUUGGUCAGUUCACUCCAUGGCAGCCUGAGUGAUCUUAAAACAACAACAACAACAGCAAUGAAACAAUUUGGUACUAUUACAAAAGCUAAUACACACUUAUGGUAAAAAUUCAAAUAAUAAAGGAUAUAUGGUGAAAUGUCCAAACCAGAUCCCUCUUUCCCUCAUCUGCAACCUCCAGACCUACUUCCCAGAGGCAACCGGUUUCUUCCGUGUACUUCCAAUUCUUUUCGAGGCAUAUAAAUGCUUUUUUAUAUGUGUGUGUACAUAAUUGCAUAUGUAUGUAUACAGGUGUGUAUGUAUGCAACCUUAAAAAACAAACAAUGCAGACGCCCGCACCUUGCGUUUUUCACUUGCAAGUGUGCCAGAGCUUUUUCCUAUUGCCAAAUCCGAGGACUGCUGCCCUAUUGUUCCCAGUGAUUUGCUCUUAUAAAAACCGCUGCAGAGCAAUCAGUUCCUAUAAGUGGAAUUGCUGGCUUAAUGGGGACGUGCAAUUAAAAUGUUGAUAGCUAUUGUCCAGUGCCUCUCAGAAUGGCCUUCUGAUUUCCAUUUCCAGAGUGCGAUUUCUCCUCACCCUCACCAACACUUCCCCAUAUCUUUGUCACGCGGAU